GUGAGUCAUCGAAUCUUUGAACGCAAAUUGCGCCUUCUUUCGGAAGGCAUGUCUGUUUGAGGGCACCAUUUAACAAAUAAUGUGCGCGUCGUUUAUGGACGACGUGCGCACGUUGAUGAGCUUUUCCGAAAAAACCAGGUUUUUUUGGUGGCGCAUAAUGAACAGCGUGGGCUUUUUCUUCGAUUCUCGUGUAGUAAAUGUUCAACGCUUGGGUUGAGAAAAAGUGCGUGCCGCGCAAUGGGUGUGGCGAAUUUUACCCCUGCCCCAAUGCCACUCUUUCCCUGCGAAAGAACAUCUUUU
rnacentral:misc_RNA from 1 species